UACGUAGGGGGCGAGCGUUGUCCGGAGUUACUGGGCGUAAAGCGCACGCAGGCGGUCUGCUAAGUUUGGAGUGACAGUUGGUGGCUUAACUGCCAAAGUGCUUCGAAAACUGACAGACUUGAGGGCUUCAGAGGGACACGGAAUUCCGGGUGGAGUGGUGAAAUGCGUAGAGAUCCGGAGGAACACCAAAGGCGAAGGCAGUGUCCUGGGGAGUACCUGACGCUCAGGUGCGAAAGCCAGGGGAGCGAACAGGG
rnacentral:rRNA from 1 species